rnacentral:rRNA from 1 species
UACGAAGGGGGCUAGCGUUGCUCGGAAUGACUGGGCGUAAAGGGCGCGUAGGCGGCUCAUACAGUCAGAUGUGAAAUUCCUGGGCUUAACCUGGGGGCUGCAUUUGAUACGUGUGGGCUUGAGUGGGGAAGAGGGUCGUGGAAUUCCCAGUGUAGAGGUGAAAUUCGUAGAUAUUGGGAAGAACACCGGUGGCGAAGGCGGCGAUCUGGGAAGAUACUGACGCUGAGGUGCGAAAGCGUGGGGGAGCAAACAGG